rnacentral:tRNA from 1 species
GCAAACGUAGCUUAAAUAAAGCAUAACGCUGAAGAUGUUAAGAUGAGCCCUAGAAAGCUCCGUAAGCA